rnacentral:tRNA from 1 species
GCCGAAGUGGUGGAACUGGCAGACGCGUCGGACUCAAAAUCCGAAGCUCUUCGGAGCGUGGGGGUUCGAGUCCCCCCUUCGGCA